AUUGAACGCUGGCGGCAGGCCUAACACAUGCAAGUCGAACGAGUGGCGGACGGGUGAGUAAUGUCUGGGAAACUGCCCGAUGGCGGGGGAUAACUACUGGAAACGGUAGCUAAUACCGCAUACCAUCGGAUGUGCCCAGAUGGGAUUAGCUAGUUGGUGGGGUAACGGCUCACCUGGGCGACGAUACCUAGCUGGUUUGAGAGGCUGACCAGCCACACUGGAACUGAGACACGGUCCAGACUCCUACGGGGGGCAGCAGUGGGGAAUAUUGGACAAUGGGGGCAAGCCUGACGCAGCCAGGCCGCGGGUAUGAAGAGGGCCUUCGGUUUGUAAAGUACUUUCAUCGAGGAGGCGUUACUCGCAGAAGAAGCACCGGCUAACUCCGUGCCAGCAGCCGCGGUAAUAC
rnacentral:rRNA from 1 species